CCCCCUCUCCCUCUCCCUCUCUCUCUGCUUGGUUGAUUCCGCUGUCUGACACCUUGUCUGUCUCAUUGCUCCCUCUGUCUUACCUUCCGUCUGUGUUUUUUUACCAGCCGCUUUCCUUUUUCUGCUGUUUUUUUCCUCUGUCUGUGUCCCUGUUUAUACAGAGACACGCACACGCUGCUCAAACCAGAGGCAGAGGACUCUCUCUAGACAUCUCUGUGUCUGGUGACAUCCAGACGACAUUGGACUUGUAUUACCCAGAGGCGUUUGGUACUGCCCAAGUUUUGAGAAACAGACCAGCAUGAUCAGCCGUUUGGUGAACCUGCCUUGCACCAUCCCAUUUCCAGUCUCCAGUGGGUGGCAGUGCUGAGGCCACCAG
ensembl:lncRNA